UACGUAGGCAGCAAGCGUUGUUCGGAGUUACUGGGCGUAAAGAGUGCGUAGGCGGUCUUUUAAGUUUGGUGUGAAAUCUCCCGGCUCAACUGGGAGGGUGCGCCGAAAACUGGGAGGCUUGAGGAUGGGAGAGGCAUGCGGAAUUCCUGGUGUAGCGGUGAAAUGCGUAGAUAUCAGGAGGAACACCUGCGGUGUAGACAGCAUGCUGGACCAUUUCUGAC
rnacentral:rRNA from 1 species